rnacentral:lncRNA from 1 species
AGAACCCUGUGAAAAUGAAGUCAUGCUGUCCAGACCAGCUCGGCAUCAAAAGUGAAAACAGAUGACUUAGCUAUUUCCUUUUCUUUUCAAAUUUGCUAGUAAGGUUUAGUGACCUAACUUCAGGGCUAAAUAUGUGAAGAUUAAGUCAGAAAACUCAAGGACAUAUUAAAAAUGAGCCAGUGGCACAUGUCUGCAAUCCCAACACUUGGGAGGCUGAAGCAGGAGGAUCACCGUGAGUUUGAGGCCAGCCUGAACUACACAGCAAGCCCUUGUCUCAAAAAAAAACCUCAAAUAGAUAGACAGACAGACAGACAGAUAGAUGGAUGACAUAUUCUGAACUCAGCUCAAAUAGAGCUUCUAUUAAAUCUUUCCAGCAAACUCUUUCUGGAGAUGUACUGAUGUAGCUGCGCAAGUCACUGCAAUAUGCUAAGACAAAGUCUUGCUGUGUAGUCCAGGCUGGUAUUGAGCUGAACCUUUUGGCUUGUCAAAUUAAUCAAAAGGAAGGACCACGCAUGCUGCAGGGGAUGGAAAGGGACUGGAAAAUCAUAAACUGGGCUUUGGGCUCUCACUACACAGGCAAAGGUAAUCUUGGUAUGUCUUCAGGAUCUCUUGCAAAAAAGAAAAAAAUUCUGAGGACCAUUUGUCUGUUUAGAGCUGUCCUGUCUGAUACAGUAGUUCCUAGCUAUAUGUGGCUACUGAGCACUUCAAAUGAGACUGACUAAGAUUGAGAUUUUCUAUAAGUUUAAAACACAUUGUUGGGAGGCUGAAGCAGGAGGAUUGGUGAGUUCAAGGUCAGCCUAGGGUACCUAGUGAGUUCAAGGCCAGUCUGAACUACAUAGCAAGACCCUGUCUCAAAAAACCAAAAAGAAAAAACACACACACACACGUUGGAUUUCCAAGACUUAGUACAAACAAAAAAUGAGAUGUAUCCGAGAGCUUGUUUGGAGGUUCUAGCAGGGGAGCGCAGCUACUCAUAUACCCUUGAGGGAGGAAAUGGUGCUGCUCCAUCCAGCAUGGUCAGGCUCUUUGACCAGGUGCACAGCUUCGGGAGGGACGCACAUGGAGCAGUGAGGGAAAAAGGGGACACCCGCCUAGCCAGCCAGAUCACUCUCACAUCCAUGAGAUGCAUCUCAAUAAUUCCUAUACUAAAUACAUGUUAGAUUAAACAAAUUAUUGUAUUUAUUUCUUUCUUAUAUUUUUUAAUGUGGCCAUUAGAUUUCAUGUUGCCUUUGUGGACUGGAUCAUAUUUUUAUUAGAACCUGACUUGUACCGAAAAAAGACUUGUCCUACAGCUGUAUUAUCAUUGAAAUAUUGUUUCAAAAUGUUCAUAGGAUGUCAGAGAAAGUUAUCUCUAAGGAUUUCUGUGAUGGUUUGGAUGAUUUUAUCUUCCAAGGGGCCAUGUGUUUGAAGGUGGGUGACAGUGUUGGGGGAUGAUACGAAACCUUUAAGAGUGGGAAGUCCACUAGGUCAUUGGCACUGUGUCUCCAGAAAGAAUUAAAGUAGUUGUCCUGUGACCCUGAGUUCUCACAAAAGGGUGGCUAUACAGGAACACACCUGCCACUCCCCAGCCUUUCUGACUUCCUGUCAGCCAGUGUGAUCUCUCUCUCUCUCUCUCUCUCUCUCCCUCCCUCGUGCAUGCUUCUGCCACUACGAUACCAUCCACCAUGAUUGCCAGAGCUGAGCUUAUAAUGAUGCCAUGCCCUUGAAUCUCCACAUGUGUAAACUAAGUGAGCCUCUCUUUGAGUUACCCAGCCUCAAAUGUAUAGCAAUGGAAAAUGGAUUUAUACAGUUUGCUGAAAGAAGAGUGUGGCAAAUCUGGUUCAAAUACAUUACUGCGGGUCCUUUCCAAAGUCUUUUUCCCAACAUCUAUGAAAUAUGAAUAUUGACUGUCUCCUGGGUGACUUGUGUGGAGAGAGUCUCUUUCAGCCAUACCUCUGAGACCUACGGCCAUUGCUAACCCUAGACUGAUGAAGUGAUUUACUACCAUUACCCUUAGAAAGCACCUCUUGUUUUUUCACAUCCACAACAGGAAAUACUUCUGGGUUGGUCUCAUUUAUAACAGCUGGUCAGCAUAAUGUUCUCGAAGAAGCUCGUGUUUCUCAAAGAUUACUGAAACUGUGUCAUUCUCUCAUAACUGAAUAAGUUUUUUGACUCUGCCAAGAGUAUUGAAUUGAUUAAAGUGAUUAGGUGCUUUCUCAUUAUCAUCUAUCUUUAGCUUUCUUUUAGCAGUGAUUGAUCUACACUUUGCAAUUGAAAGUUCAAUGUUUUCUGUGUAGAAGGAAGAAGGAAUUAAGGAGUUCUGCACUGUUAGUCUAUUAAUAUUUUAUCAUGAAUUGUCAGCACCAGCACUUUGGACUGGAACCUGUGAAAGGAUGAGCCAAAAUAAACACCUUCCUUCCAUUUAGUUGGGCAUGUUGGAUAUUUUGUCCCAGCAAUGAGAAAGCUGACCAUACAAUGACCUUAGCAUUUCCAUCAAAUCUCAACUCAUUCCAGAUUUCAGAUUCCUGGAAACAAACCUGCCUUAAUGGAGCCAAGCGAUCAUUUCUCUUCUUUGCACCCCCCAAAAGAAUCCAAUAAUCAAACGCUAUUGAAAGAAGCUUUCAGCAACUGGAACAGAGUGGGAUCUCCAUAGAUGCGGCUAUUAGACAGCUGUGCCUUGGUACUCAAAUGCUUUGAAACUUGUUGAAUUUGGUACUGGAUGUAUUUGAAUGUGAAAUGUUGUCCCUCACAGUUAAUUUGGUACCAACCUGCAAGCUAGAACUUGUCUAUAUCAACUGCCUCGUGACUCCUUAUAAUUUUCAGCCAAAAUAAUUUGUUGGGUACUCGCUGUUUUUGGUGCUUGCCACAUCUCCAAGAACCAAUUAACAAUGAAUAAUGUGGUUUCACUGUAUUUUUAAAACAGCUUCUACAAGCAAAGGCAAAACCUACAAACUAAGUCUCAAAUCCAAGCAUCACCAUUGGUUUGUAUUUUUAGUUUGGUAGCUUUUUCUUCCCUUUGCUUUGAAGUAUUUUGGGUUUGUUUUUUUUUUAAUUCUAGGAGAAGGCCCAAAUUGGAUAAGUUUAGGUGUAGAAAUAAAACACAUGUUCUAACAAUUUUGGAGAGAUAGAUGAAUCUCUUGGGAUAUGAGAUUUCACAAAAUAUUUUAAAUUAUUUUUCAAAUAAUAUGGGUUUGGCAAAAACAAAAUGAUUUUCUAAAAAAGUUCCCUCCUUAACAUUCAAAUGGUCUCAAUGGAAAUGUAAUAUACAUAUUUCUAGCUCUCUUCACAUAACUCAGUAUUAUUUAAUAGGAAUUGGUUGAUGUUUAACAAUCCAGUGAGUACUUGACCUAUUUUUGGACAAUAAAACUACCUUCUGAGAA